rnacentral:tRNA from 1 species
GGAGGAGCCAGCCGACAGUUGGCGCCGGCCACCGUCUCGAAAACGGUUGGGGCUUCGCCGCCCGUGGCGGUUCGACCCCGCCCUCCUCCGCCA